AUAAUGGUGGUAGGGAUCCGGAAGGUGACCGACCCUUCGGGGAGCCAUUACAGGUGUUGCAUGGCUGUCGUCAGCUCGUGUCGUGAGAUGUCGGUUAAGUCCGCUAACGAGCGCAACCCUCGCUGUGUGUUAUAUGUGUCACACAGGACUGCUGGGUAUUAAGCCGGAGGAAGGUGGGGACGACGUCAAGUCAGCAUGACCUUUAUAUCCAGGGCUACACACACGCUACAAUGGUCAGUACAAUGGGUUGCCAAGCCGCGAGGCGGAGCCAAUCCUAAAAAGCUGGCCUCAGUUCAGAUUGCAGUCUGAAACUCGACUGCAUGAAGUCGGAGUUGCUAGUAACCGCAGGUCAGCUAUACUGCGGUGAAUACGUUCCCGGGUCUU
rnacentral:rRNA from 1 species